rnacentral:rRNA from 1 species
AGCGAACGCUGGCGGCAGGCCUAACACAUGCAAGUCGAACGAACUCUUCGGAGUUAGUGGCGGACGGGUGAGUAACACGUGGGAACGUGCCUUUAGGUUCGGAAUAACUCAGGGAAACUUGUGCUAAUACCGAAUGUGCCCUUCGGGGGAAAGAUUUAUCGCCUUUAGAGCGGCCCGCGUCUGAUUAGCUCGUUGGGGAGGUAAAGGCUCACCAGGGCGACGAUCAGUAGCUGGUCUGAGAGGAUGAUCAGCCACAUUGGGACUGAGACACGGACCAAACUCCUACGGGAGGCAGCGGUGGGGAAUCUUGCGCAAUGGGCGAAGGCCUGACGCAGCCAUGCCGCGUGAAUGAUGAAGGUCUUAGGAUUGUGAAAUUCUUUCACCGGGGACGAUAAUGGCGGUACCCGGAGAAGAAGCCCCGGCUAACUUCGUGCCAGCCGCCGCUGUAA